UCAUGUUUAUAUUAUGUUGAAAGUCAUAUGUGGCCUGUAGUGCAUAGAUGGACUUGGUAUGAUUAUGACCAGGGAUUAAUCGGUAUAAUCAUGACCGUAAUGUUACAAAUGAUGUGGUAAAAGUCCUCAUUGGCCCGUAGUGCAUUGAUGGACAGUUGUUGGCAUGAUCAUGACCAUUGAUGAAUACACGAAUAUCCUUGGCCCGUAGUGCAUGGAUAAUUUGUGGUUGUGAU
rnacentral:lncRNA from 1 species